rnacentral:rRNA from 1 species
AUGGAUGCAGAUCUCAGCCAAUGGAUUAUGAAGCACUACGACCCUGAGGUGUCCCAAAUUGUUAUACCAGAUAGGGGGAAGAUUCCUAUUGAUGCAGCGAGUGUGCAUCCAAUUUGGGGAUUGCCAAACAGGGGCAGGAAGGUCUGCUUUGAGAAUCGUCCUGACAUCACAAAGGCCAUUUACAACAUCUACAAUAUCACAACCAAGAACUCACCAACCCUCACAGCAUGGUGCAAGAUGAUUGUAAAUAUGAAUGGAGCUUACGAUGACGAUUUUCUUCGUGCUUGGUUAGCAGUUGCCUUUUCCUGCUUCCUUGCACCAUCAACAAGUCUAAGCAUCUCGCCAAAAAGCUUCCCUGCUAUCAUGGAUGUCAAUGGUAUAACAGAGACGAAUGUUUGCCAGUUUGUUGUUGAUCAGUUAAAGGCAGCAUUUAAAGAUGUGCGUACCAAGAAGAAUGAUGUAUGUUGCUGUGUUUUCGAUCUCGUAGUAAGUGCAUUAAACUCAAACGAUUAUCUCUCAUUCUCAACACUAUCCUCCAUCUUGUUUGUUAUAUUUGCAAACUUAUAUGUUUUCUGUCUUCAGUGUCAUCUUUUUCAUUUGUAG